GUUUAUAUUUGUUAUGAGAAGGGUAUAAAUAAGGCAUAAAUGCAGAUUCCUUUCACAGAUAAAGAAGUUACUCCCCAACCCCCACCAGCUUGUCAAAACUUUUUUUCAGAGAUUAAAACUUUAGUGCUAUCUUAGUGGCUUGUGUACAGUGGCAGGAUGUUCUGGGACUUCAAUACCAAUUUCUGACACUGGGUGGAUCUCUGAAGUCAGGAGAACAAGUAAAUCUUUAAUAGACACUGUUUUGGCAUGAGAAGAGUGGAUUGGGCUCCACCCUGUUUGUUAGUGUCUUGAUUUCUCCAUUUUUAAUCUGCUUCAGGACAGAAUGACUUCCUGUGGCAUUUACUGUUGUUGACUGAAAGAAUGGGAAUAAGUUAUCACAGCAAAGAAAAAAGCAGAAUACUCAGUGCAAUAGUCUUUCUGAUGAGAAACUUCAGUUGCUGAAGGGAAUCUGCAAUUCUUUGUCAUAGGACUUAAACUCAUCUUACUUUUGAAAUACUUUUUCUGCACCAGUUCUGCUGAAUCUGGACUGAAGAGAGAAAGACUCUGCACUGGCCGUGCUUUGCAUCCUAUACAUUUAGGGAAAAGCGUGAGGAAAAGCUUUCAGAUCUAUAUGCCGUAAGCAACUGUUACUUGCUGGUUUUUUAAUUAUUGAGCUUAUCACUACUAUUAGGUGUAAAUAAGGAAUGGGAGAAGGGCUAUAAAUAAAAACUGAUUAUGAAAUUAAUGUAUUGCA
rnacentral:lncRNA from 1 species